UUCCAGCCAUUAGCUCACAAGCUCCCAGCCCUGCCUGCCUGUGAUCUCUGGCCAGCAGACAUCUUUUCUGGACCUGUUGAUUUUGCCGCCCACCUGGCCCCUGGCUGCUUCGUUCUGCCUGCCUGUUUCUCCUGCUGCUGCUCCUGGCCUCUCUCCAUCCUUACCUGGUUCCUGCAUCCCAGCCCACCCCAGUGGUCUCUCACCCAUCUGGCCCAGCUGAUCCCUGUCCAGCAAAAACUGGCCUCAGACCCAGAUGGCUCAUCGCCCCAGCCCCAGCCCCAGGACAGAGGCUGUUGGUAGCAGAUCAAAUUUCUUCAGGAUCAAAAACCAGCUGGUAACAAACGGGGGUAUUGGCCACGUGGGUGGAUGGUAGGAGGGUAGAGAGAAAAAGGGGAAGAAGAAAGGUUUUUCCAAACAGGAACUCAAAAGCACGGCUAUUUUACAAGGAUAUCUUUUAAUUGCAUUGAUCCUUUUAUUGACUUCACCUGCGUGUCAGGAAGGAGAUUCAGCUCCCUACAACCAUUUAGCUAACUUUGGAGGGGCAGCUGGGUGGCUCAGCGAACUGAGAGCCAGGCCUAGAGACUGGAGGUCCUGGGUUAAAAUCUGGCCUCAGAUACUUCCCAGCUGUGGGGCCCUGGGCAAGUCACUUGACCUCCAUUGCCUAGCCUUUACCACUCUGCCUUCUGACAAUAGGCAUCUAAAUGGAUAAUUAAACAAACAAACAAACAAACAAAAAAAAACCCAAGGAACUUUGAAGAGACUAGAGGUUAUAUAUUUUAAGGCAUUUCAGACUCCAAUGGUUUAUACAAAUCUCUGUAUUCUCCUGCAUUUUAUUGUUUGCUUUGUUUAAGGUUUAACUUCGUGAUUUUAAAUUCAUAUUUAUAUAUUACUGUAUUCAAUAUUAUUCUGUUACACUGAAUCAUUUUAAUGUACUGAGUUUUGACUACUGUUAAAUUCUCUUACUUUUCCCCUAUAACCAUAUUGAACAAAUAUCAUUGUAAUUAAUCCCAUAUAUGAAAAAGAACAGCUUUUCUAUUUUGCCUUUGUAAAUUGUCACAUAGAGGAUAGAUGGAAUUCAGAACUGGUUAUAAUUGCUAUAACAACCUUUGGAAAAUUUAAUGUGCUAAAUAUCUCAAAUUGAUUUUAAAGGUUUUUUAAACAUGAUUCUUGGAAUUUUUUUUUUACAAUCUCUAGUCAUUUUUGCCUGCCCCUACCACAAGGUAAGGCCCAUUCUAGUAGCUGAAGUGAAAUACAUUUUAUAACCCCCAACCUUCCCACAUUUCUAAAUAUGUGAAUGGAAGUUGGGCAGUUAAUCUCAGGGCAUUUGUAUCCCUAAAAAGCCUCCAAAAAAAGGAGCACCUCUUUAUUUAUACUCUUCAGCUCACUACUUUACUUCCACCAGAAUGAUAUCUAGAUUUCUUGAUUAUGUUCUUAACCCAAGAUGAGUUUUACUUUGUUUAAGAAUAUGUUUAUUACCAAGGUUGAAAGGUUUGCUAUGAUUGUAAAACUUGUGACAAGUAUCCAUUUUUUUAAAUGCCAUACAGAAACUUAUGUGAAAUAUUAUAGUGUGUUUGUUUGCUAUUGUAAUUAAUUGGGCUAUUGAGAAUUUUGGGGAUAUCGAUACCACAUAUUUGUACUACUGCUCAAUUCAUUUGCUCAUACUCACAGAGGAUCAUGGCCAGAUAUGAAGAGGAAAUGGAUCUCAUUUUUGGUGAGAAAGCCUUGUAUUCUAUAUUUUCUGAGCUGACACAGAAUGUCAAUGAUUACAAGCUAUAUUUUUGAAUUUUUAAAAACUCUUUUAUUAUAUUUUUCUCGCAUGUGCAAUAUACUUUUACAGUUUUUUAUUUUUCUCUCUUUUUUAUAUUUGAAGCACAUGUCACCAGCAUUAAGAUUUUCUUUAACUUUUUGACUUUUCAGUAAUAUGUUUAAGAUACAUUUGCUAAUGCAUGCCCCAAAAGGCUUGAGACUAUAAAAAUGAUGCCACUGAUUAUUUAAAAUAAAUUAUGGGACUUUACUUAAUGAUUCUGUCUGAUUCCAGGACAAGAUAUACACAAGAGCCAUUGCACAUGGCCAAAGAAAACCCAAUCCAGGAUGGAUUGAUGCACUUCUAGGCCAAUGCAAAGGUUUUGAAUCAAGUGUGUAGACUCAAGGUUACUGUGUUUUAACAUUGCUAGACAUAGGCUUUCCUUGUGUCCACACUCACUCUGAAAAUACUCACAGACGAGUAUCCCCCAAACCUUGGCUCCUAUAGUCUGAUCCCCUUUACUGCCUUUCAUAGUGUGGUACUUUUCUGUAGUCCUGCCUACUGACUGGGUAAAUGCAUCAUUGCUUAGAUCAUUUUGACUGGGCCCUGAUUCAAGGACCUGUUAUGGAUUUAUUUUUCCUUUACUUAAAAUGUUUACACAUAAGACUUUGAUAGACUACAUUUUCAUCCAGUAUUUUCUUUUUUUAUUUGGAUUUUUCUGAUGUCUUUUUAAUUUCUCUUGCCAAUUGAUUCAUAUACCUCAUACUUCAGCCAUGCAUCCCUAAGUGAUCCUGUAUGUUUCAAUCACCCUCUUAACAGGGGAAUGUAAAAAAUAUCAUUAUUUAAAUUGGAAAGUUUAAAUUUCUUUUGAGAAGAAUUUUAGGUAAAGAAAGAUGAUACUUCCCUGAAUCCAGAAACUGAACUGUUGGAGAAGACACCAUGAAGAUACCUCCAGAUCACAAGCUGCACAAAAAAGAAAUCCAAAUUGAACUUUGGGUGUAGUUGAUUGAACAUUUAUUUGUAUAUAUACUUUCAUGCCAAAGGGGACUGCCCCCAACUGUUUUUUUGUUAAUGCAUCCAGCAAUUAUUGGUUUUGUUCUUUUUUUUCUCUUAUCCUCAAAUUAUUAUAAUAUUUAAAUUGAUUAUGUUUUUAUGAUCCUUUGGGGAAGUCCUUCUUCCCAGAGGAUCAUACGGUGGAAUGUAAAAAGGGAAACUUGAAUCCAAGACUUCAAUCCCCAGAAGUCCUUGCUCCACAUCCCCAGAAUGCUUUGUAAUCUCACUGAAUUCUCACCUGGGCUGAGAGCAAGUUAUUAUUUAAAGGAUCUCCGCCUAGGGCGGGGUCUCUUCUCUUUCCUGUUGCCGCUUCCAAGCAGAUGUGUCUCUUUUCAUAAUUGCUUCCUUCUCCUGGACGUUCUCCUCCAGGGGUCCCAGCUUGCCUUGGCCAUCCUCCAAGACCACUGGCAGGACUGACCUGGGCCUGGGACUGGAGUAGGAGCCAUGGGCUUGUCAGGCUCUUGUCCUGGGCAGGAGUCAGAGAUAGGGCCGGCUCUAGAUCUGAGCCCACUGCCUCCCGAGUUGUUACUGCAAAUCCUGCUCCACGUGCCCCCCCGGAUGCUGGUGACACGAUGCCGGGCCGUGUGCCGCCAAUGGCGGGAGCUGGUGGACGGGCCGGCACUGUGGCGUCUUCGCUGGGCCCAGACCAAGGAUGCUUCAAGCCAGGAUCUGCUUGAAGCCACUCACUACUGCCCUCCUGCUCCCAAGCCUUGUUCCUGGGCCCGCCUAGGCAUCCUGGAGCCACUGGGUCGGAACCUGCUCCGAAAUCCCUGUGGGCAAGAAGGGUUCCAGAGCUGGGAGCUGGAAAAUGGUGGAGAAGGCUGGGCAAUAGAAGAGAAUCGCAAACCAGUGCCUGGGGCACAGGCCCAGACCUGCUUUGUGUCUUCCUUUCGUUGAGGAAACGAGCUCAGAAAGAUCAAGUUCCAUAGCCAACGUUGCACAGUUCUUUCUCUGGAUGUGGAUCGUGUUGUUUCUCAUAAGUCCCUCAGAAUUGUCCUGGAUCACUGCAUUGCUAUUAGUAGCAAAGUUCAUUACAUUUGAUCAUACUACAAUGUUUCAGUUACUGUGUACAGUGUUUUCCUGGUUCUGCUUAUUUCAUUCCGCAUCAGUUCAUGGAGGUCUUUUCAAUUCUUUCUGAAAGCAUCCUGCUCAUCAUUUCUUUUAGCACAGUAGUAGUCCAUCCCCAUCAUUGACCACCAUUUGUUCAACUUGAAUGCCUUUUUUCCCCCUAAAUCCCCUGGUGGUCUGGAACAAUUCAGAGGGAAGCUGGCAGAGCAAUUUCCAAGAUUCUGGUUCAGGAAAAGGUCCUCCCUUCAGGACAGGAUAAAAGGUCACCUUCUCCCUGUACAAGGAGUUCGAUCCUCUUUCCAAUUACUCCAGCUUCUCUCUUCCUAUAACAUGGAUUUCUGCAAGGGAGAUGGCAGUGCCACGAGCAGCAAGAGCAGGAGUGUCAAAUGAGCUAGAGAAGAAAAGGACAAACCACUCUAGGAUCUUUGCCAAGAAAAUCCCCAAAAAGGGGUCCAUGGGGGGCAGCUAGGUGGCUCAAUGGAUGAAGAACCAGACCCAGAGGUGGGAGGUCCUGGAUUCAAAUCUGGCCUCAAACACUUCCCAGAUGUGUGAUCAUGGGCACAUCACUUACUGCCUAUUGCCUAGCCCUUAUCAUUCUUCUGUUUUGGAACCAAUACACAGUAUGGAUUCUAAGCUGGAAGGUAGCAGUUUGUUGUUUUUUUAACCCUCAAUACUGUGUAUUGGUUCUAAGACAGAAGAGUAAGGGCUAGGCAAUGGGAGUUAAGUGACUUGUUCAGGGUCACACAGCUGGGAAGUGUCUGAGGCCACAUUUGAACCCAGGACCUCCCAUCUCUGGGCCUGGGUCCCCAUCCACUGAGCC